UACGUAGGGUGCAAGCGUUGUCCGGAAUUAUUGGGCGUAAAGAGCUCGUAGGCGGCUCGUCACGUCGGCUGUGAAAACCUGGGGCUCAACCCCGGGCCUGCAGCCGAUACGGGCGAGCUAGAAUUCGGUAGGGGAGACUGGAAUUCCUGGUGUAGCGGUGAAAUGCGCGGAUAUCAGGAGGAACACCGGUGGCGAAGGCGGGUCUCUGGGCCGAUAUUGACGCUGAGGAGCGAAAGCGUGGGGAGCAAACAGG
rnacentral:rRNA from 1 species